GUCUCGGCUACGGGCACGCAGCCGUCGCAGUUCCAGUUGUCGCCAAGGCAGUCGUUCCAGCUACCGUCUCCAGUGCUGUGACGUACAGAAGCGAUGUGUACGCACCACGUGUCGCUAAGGUGGCAGUCGCCGCACCAGUUGCUGUGGCGCCUGUUGCCGUCGCUGCCCCAGUCGCCUAUGGCCACGGAUACGGCGGCUACGGGCACGGUCUCGCACUUGGCGGCUAUGGUCUCGGACACGGAGCCCACGGAGCCUAUGGAGGCUACGGAGGCUACGGGGCCUAUGGAGGCUACGGAGGCUACGGAGCUCACGGCGCCUAUGGAGCCUUUGGCGGUUACGGUCAUGGUCUCGGCUACGGACACAAAUUCCUCGGCUAAGUGACUGCUGCGUAUUUAUUCGACGUAUACAGGAAGUGAGGUGUGGUCUUCCUGGACUGUAUGGUUCAAGUGUAGCUCUUGAAUUGUGACUGCAACACUUUUAAAGAGCGCCGACAAUAAAAAGUUGCCUCGGGCACACAAACCUG